GGGCCUGUAGCAUACCGGUAAAUGCAAGCGCCUCAUAAGCGACAGAUUUGGGUUCAACUCCCUUCAGGCUCACCA
rnacentral:tRNA from 1 species